rnacentral:rRNA from 1 species
GAAACAGUGGCUAAGACUGGAUAGGAAGAAAUAAGGCAUCUUAUUUCUUUUAAAAGACCUAGUAAUAGGUAUACUUUAGGAGGGGCUUGCGCCAUAUUAGUUAGUUGGUAGGGUAAUGGCCUACCAAGACGAUGAUGUGUAGCUGGACUGAGAGGUUGAACAGCCACAUUGGGACUGAGACACGGCCCAAACUCCUACGGGAGGCAGCAGUAGGGAAUUUUCGGCAAUGGAGGAAACUCUGACCGAGCAACGCCGCGUGAACGACGAAGUACUUUGGUAUGUAAAGUUCUUUUAUCAAGGAAGAAAAGCAAGUGGCGAACCAUUUGUUUGCCGGUACUUGAUGAAUAAGCCCCGGCUAAUUAUGUGCCAGCAGCCGCGGUAAGACAUAAGGGGCAAGUGUUAUCCGGAAUUAUUGGGCGUAAAGGGUGCGUAGGCGGUCUAGUAAGUCAGUGGUGUAACGGCAACGCUCAACGUUGUCCGGCUAUUGAAACUGCUAAACUUGAGUUAGAUAGAGGCGAGUGGAAUUCCAUGUGUAGCGGUAAAAUGCGUAAAUAUAUGGAGGAACACCAGAGGCGUAGGCGGCUCGCUGGGUCUUAACUGACGCUGAGGCACGAAAGCGUGGGGAGCAAACAGGAUUAGAUACCCUGGUAGUCCACGCCGUAAACGAUGAGUACUAAGUGUCGGGUUAAACCGGUACUGAAGUUAACACAUUAAGUACUCCGCCUGAGUAGUACGUACGCAAGUAUGAAACUUAAAGGAAUUGACGGGACUCCGCACAAGCGGUGGAUCAUGUUGUUUAAUUCGAAGAUACCCGAAAAACCUUACCAGGUCUUGACAUGUUUUUGCGAAACGGUAGUAAUAUCGUAGAGGUUAUCAGAAACACAGGUGGUGCAUGGUUGUCGUCAGCUCGUGUCGUGAGAUGUUAGGUUAAGUCCUAAAACGAGCGAAACCCUUAUCGUUAGUUGCCAGCACGUUAUGGUGGGGACUUUAACGAGACUGCCAGUGAUAAACUGGAGGAAGGUGAGGAUCACGUCAAAUCAGCAUGCCCCUCAUGACCUGGGCUACAAACGUGAUACAAUGGCUGUUACAAAGGGUAGCUGAAACGUAAGUUCUUGGCCAAUCCCCAAAAACAGUCUCAGUCCGGAUUGAAGUCUGCAACUCGACUUCAUGAAGUUGGAAUCGCUAGUAAUCGCGAACCAGCAUGUCGCGGUGAAUACGUUCUCGGGGUUUGUACACACCGCCCGUCA